GACGUAGGGCGCGAGCGUUGUCCGGAUUUAUUGGGCGUAAAGAGCUCGUAGGCGGCUUGUCGCGUCGACUGUGAAAACCCGUGGCUCAACCAUGUGGUCUGCAGUCGAUACGGGCAGGCUAGAAUUCGGUAGGGGAGACUGGAAUUCCUGGUGUAGCGGUGAAAUGCGCAGAUAUCAGGAGGAACACCAGCGGCGAAGGCGGCGCUCUGGGCCGGUACUGACACUGAGGAGCGAAAGCGUGGGUAGCAAACAGG
rnacentral:rRNA from 1 species